GAUGAAGAACGUAGCGAAAUGCGAUAAGUAAUGUGAAUUGCAGAAUUCAGUGAAUCAUCGAAUCUUUGAACGCACCUUGCGCCCUUUGGCCAUUCCGAAGGGCAUGCCUGUUUGAGUAUCAUGAACACCUCAACUCCUCAUGGUCUUCUAUGAUGAGCUUGGACUUUGGGGGCUUGCUGGCCCAUUUGGUCAGCUCCUCUCAAAUGAAUCAGCCUACCAGUGUUUGGUGGCACCACAGGUGUGAUAACAAUCUACGCUUGAGGUUUUCCACCAGGCAACCUUCAGUAAUUGGGGUUCACUGGGGCUCACAAAUGUCUUUCUUCAGUGAGGACAGCUCUUUGAAUGUUUGACCUCAAAUCAGGUAGGACUACCCGCUGAACUUAAGCAUAUCAAUAAGCGGAGGA
rnacentral:misc_RNA from 1 species